UACGUAGGGUGCGAGCGUUGUCCGGAAUUACUGGGCGUAAAGAGCUUGUAGGCGGUCUGUCGCGUCGAUUGUGAAAUCUUGCAGCUCAACUGCGAGCCUGCAGUCGAUACGGGCAGACUAGAGUACUUCAGGGGAGACUGGAAUUCCUGGUGUAGCGGUGAAAUGCGCAGAAUAUCAGGAGGAACACCGGUGGCGAAGGCGGGUCUCUGGGAGUAACUGACGCUGAGAAGCGAAAGCGUGGGUAGCAAACAGG
rnacentral:rRNA from 1 species